UACGUAGGGUGCAAGCGUUAAUCGGAAUUACUGGGCGUAAAGCGUGCGCAGGCGGUUUUGUAAGUCUGGCGUGAAAUCCCCGGGCUCAACCUGGGAAUUGCGAUGGAGACUGCAAGGCUAGAAUCUGGCAGAGGGGGGUAGAAUUCCACGUGUAGCAGUGAAAUGCGUAGAUAUGCGGAGGAACACCGAUGGCCAAGGCAAUCCCCUGGGCCUGCACUGACGCUCAUGCACGAAAGCGUGGGGAGCAAACAGG
rnacentral:rRNA from 1 species